rnacentral:lncRNA from 9 species
UUUUUUUUUUUUCUGAGCAGUGAACAGUUAUUUCAGGUCUUGAGGAGUUACCCAGGUAGAGUCUGAGUGAGAUUCAGAGCUGCUUAUCUGGUAUGUCAGAUAGUUUUUGUGGAAGAAGCUACUGAAAGCCUCUUCUCUGAUGAGAAUUAAGGAGAUGCUUGAGAGCAUGCUGAUCCUGAGGGGAGAUGGAGACAGACAGGGUGACCUUCACCCCAGACCUGAAUCUUGCUUAUCAGAGAAGAGUAGGAGUGAGUAUGAUGUCAGUCACUCACACUUCUUUUCUCUCCAGUUCCAGUUGGAUUUAUGAAGAGUUCCAUAGAGUUUAUUGUAUGUUAAAAAAGGAGCCAGAGACCCUCCAUCAGCAGAUUGGACCCACCCAAGAGAAGGCAAUCUGUAAUCUGGACUGAAAUGGCCAUGUCUUUCUCCUUCUACCACACUGAGCACACUCAUUCAAAUAACAUGAACUAGCCCCAGCUUAAUAGACACCCUCUUUAUUACUAGUGGGCCAACAAAAGUAUAGGGUAGCCUCAUUACGUAGAUGGAAAGGAAUUUGGAAUGUGGAAUAUUAAAGCCAAGGGUCCAGUGGUUAAGUAUUCCACACCCAGUAUAAUUACGCUAAGUAGCUAAAAUCCAAAUGACUAGAACCCUGACAAAAUUUCAUUUUAAAGUGCUAGAACAGAGAUUCAGACUCUGAAUUUGCUGAUUUAGUGCCAGUCUGGAUCUAGCGCCAGUCUAGCAGCCCAUUCCAACCCUCAUAACAUGAACAAAGAUCGCUUGGUUUUGUGCCCAUGCUGGGGGUGCUCCAUGAAGUUCUGGUUCUCCCAGCUGGUUUACUGCCAUAUAGGAGCCAUGUCCACCCUCUAAAAUGAAUAUAUGACCAUGUUGCUUCCUGUGUACAGCCUUUUGGUGGCUCUUGACUGCCUGUGGAUCAGAUCUAAACAUGGUGUUUUAAAAAGCCUCUAUGAUCCAUCCCUGAUCUGGUAGUCCUCUCCUGCCAUUCUCUCCCUUUAGUUUUACAUCUAGUAUGCAUUCUGAGUUCACCCAUGCAUGUGCCUCUGGGCUAGCUAGUUCCUGGGGGCUGGUAUAUAAAGUUGCCCUCUGGGGGUGCAUAAUCUUGUAGGAAAGUCAAUUUAUAUUCCCAUUUUGAACAGUUAAAUAACAAUGGCAUAUAGUUUAUGAUAAAGUCCCCAGUUGAGUGAUGGAAACAAUAAAUGCAAUAGACAAGAAUGGCAGUCAAAAUAUUUAACAACUACUAUUGCUCAGGCAUUGGAUAGGCUUAGAAUGGAUGGGACCCAGUCAGAACAUCCACUCAGAGGGAGUAGUCCAUGACCAGGAAUGUCAGUCCUGGUUAUCCGACCUUUGAGGAAUAAGGGAUGGGGCCACCACAAGGCAUUUCAGGAAGGAGAUGAGACUUGGACUGAGCCUGGACUUGCAGGAAAGAAGAGAGGAGAAGGAGUAAUUAAGUUAGUUUCAUGAGGUAAAUGGGAUUCUUGGAAUAUUAUUCUGACAGCUGUGUGUGGGAUGGAGUCCUGUGGGCAAGAGUGAAGGAGGAAAACUGGUGAGGAGGCUGUUCUAGGAACUGAGGUGUGAGGUGAGGGGAGUGGAGGACAUGAUAGAGAAUAUAGAAAGGCUCACCCAUGAGAGAAGGAGUCUGGAGGGGUGGAGAGUAAGACACUCCAUAACAUUCUGCCAAGGGCCAAAGCAUUUCUUUCUUGCAAUGAAUUGUUCAAAUGUGACUAAAAAGAGUAAUAAAAGCAAAAUAAGGUGUGAACUUGAGCCUCUGACACUGUUUCUACUACCCUCCUUGAAAUUCCUCUUAUGACACAACAAGGGAGUUGCAGAUUAGUAUUAGUGAAGAUGGUUUGCAGAAUAGAGCUGGGUCCCCCACAGGAGUAGCUUUGUCAACAGGAAUUCCUUUGGGGUCUGCAGUAUUUGAGGGCAUAGAGGUGGACAUCUCAACAUUAGUCUCUGGUUAGGGUCUGGAAGAAUGUUAAAAAUUCCUUGAAGUUUCCAAACACUGGAACCUCUAUCCUGGGAAGUCCCACCUUGGAAACUAUAUUUGGGUAUCCAGAACCAUGGGAAGUGUCCUGACCCGCUGUACCAGCAAGCCCAAGCUUAUCUUCCUGUUAAAAUGGGACUUUGGGCAUGUAGCUCUCUGCUCUCUGGUUCUCCACCUAGAUAAGCUAUAUGCAGAAUAUAAGAGGCUGGAAGAGUCAUAGGGUUUCCCCUCUAUAGUUUUAAUUUGAGCACUAAUCAAAAACUCUUCAGGCAAGUGAUAAUGUUUGUAUAGAUCUCUUUGAAAAGAGGAGGGGAACGAUUUAUGACUGAAUGCAUUUCAACUUCCAGAAAAACUGCUUAAAGAGGAUGAGGAGUAAAAAAGUAAUGGUUUUAGGUGGGCAUGUUGGCAGGCCAGUUGGAACUUAGGAGUUUUAGCUAGGUGACUUCCCAAAACUGCUAGAUAAUGUUAUGUCAAUCAGAAACACAUUUGAGGAGUUCCCAUCGUGGCGCAGUGGUUAACGAAUCCGACUAGGAACCAGGAGGUUGCGCGUUCGGUCCCUGCCCUUGCUCAGUG